UGGGGAAUUUUGCACAAUGGAGGAAACUCUGAUGCAGCGACGCCGCGUGAGUGAUGAAGAUCUUCGGAUUGUAAAACUCUGUCCUUAGUAAAGAUAAUGACAGUAACUAAGAAGCAAGCCCUGGCUAAAUACGUGCCAGCAGCCGCGGUAAUACGUAUGGGGCAAGCGUUGUCCGGAAUUAUUGGGCGUAAAGGGUACGUAGGCGGUUUAAUAAGUCCUAAUUAAAAGGCUAUGGCUCAACCAUAGUAUGGUUAGGAAACUGUUGAACUUGAGUAGAUGAGGGGAAAGUGGAAUUCCAUGUGUAGCGGUGAAAUGCGUAGAUAUAUGGAGGAACACCAAUGGCGAAGGCAACUUUCUGGAAUCAAACUGACGCUGAGGUACGAAGGCGUGGGGAGCAAACAGG
rnacentral:rRNA from 1 species